rnacentral:misc_RNA from 1 species
UAACAACCCAUCUCGCCCAUUCCACCAUUUGGAGCACGAACGAGGAAUGCUUACAGUCGCCUUCCUUGUAUCUCCAGUGAGCAGCGAAGCCGAAUUCCGCUUGUACAUGCAUCUCUCGGGUUCGGAUCUGGACUUCCAGCGGGAGGGAGUCUUCGCUCAGGACAACCGUGUGUAGCGAUCGGUACCCAUUUAAUUUGGGAUGUGUUAUGUAAUCUUUAAACCGUCCGAGAACUUCAGGCCAGACUUGAUGUACAACCUUCAAUGCUCUAUAGCAAUCUUCAUCAUUCUCAACUAUCAGGCGUAAACCAUGUAUGUCAUGGAUUUCG